GUCUUUACCAGCCUGAUAUCUGUCUUCUGCUCACUGACAACAGAGGAGAGGCAUCUUUAAAGACGACGUCCGUCUUCACUAGAGAUGAGAGGAGCAGCUAUGAGUUUAACAGCAGCAGCGAGGGGAUUUGUUGUCUUCCUUCUCUCUGUGCCAGUGAUACAGGGCCAGAGUGACUGGGGAGUGACUUACCUUUCCACUCCGAUCUGUGCCUUAAAGAGAUCAACCGUGGACAUACCGUGCACCUACAGAUACCCAUCCACAACAAGUCAUCAAACUACAGGAGUUCGAGAACGAUUAUGGUUUACUAAAUUUAGUAAUAAUGAACCUGUGGAUCUGAAAACCGAUUCAGACUACACAGGUCGUGUGCAGUAUAACUGUGAUAAAUUGAGCUGCACUCUGAGAAUCACAGACCUGAGAGAGAGCGAUUCGGCUGAGUACAAGUUCAGGUUCAUAACUAACCAUACACUUGGAGGUUUCACUGGUUCACCUGGAGUCACUUUGUCUG